AGUUUAAUUGUUAAUUUAAGAGUUUCACAUGUAGUAUACCAUCUUGUAUUAAUAUCGAUCUAAACCCGUCAAUUCUAGGAUUUUCCAGCUUGUAUUAAAAAUUGAAUCACAUCAUACACAUAAAAAAAUCUAAUAUGUUAUUAAUUAUUAUAGUAUAUAAGAUUAUAAAUUUUCAAUAUAAUAUGUAUGAAAUUGAAUAUAAAUAUUUCAAAUUAUGACCCGUUACUCAGUAGAAAGUUUUCUUAAAUCUAUUUUUCACCCUUUAUAAUAUUUUUUCAUGUAUUGAACAGUUUAUAUUUGUUUUUAAAAAUUUAAAUUAUGGCAUAUGCGAAAAAACUCUAAUUUUUUUUUUAUAAUGAUGAUAUUAUUUUUUCGCAAAAAUAGAAUCAUAUAAAGAUGAGAAGUGAACUAUAAUAAUUAAUAAAAAAUUAAUAUGAUAAUUUAGAUAUAAAAUCUAAUUUGUUGAUUUUAAUAGGUUACUUUUUUGGAAAUUAAUAAUGUAUUUU
rnacentral:sRNA from 1 species